rnacentral:rRNA from 1 species
ACGCACGCUGGCGGCAGGCCUAACACAUGCAAGUCGAGCGAGGACUUCGGUUCUAGCGGCGGACGGGUGAGUAACGCGUGGGAAUGUGCCCUUCUCUACGGAAUAGCCCUGGGAAACUGGGAGUAAUACCGUAUACGCCCUAUUGGGGAAAGAUUUAUCGGAGAAGGAUCAGCCCGCGUUGGAUUAGGUAGUUGGUGGGGUAAUGGCCUACCAAGCCGACGAUCCAUAGCUGGUUUGAGAGGAUGAUCAGCCACACUGGGACUGAGACACGGCCCAGACUCCUACGGGAAGCAGCAGUGGGGAAUCUUAGACAAUGGGGGCAACCCUGAUCUAGCCAUGCCGCGUGAGUGAUGAAGGCCUUAGGGUUGUAAAGCUCUUUCAGCUGGGAAGAUAAUGACGGUACCAGCAGAAGAAGCCCCGGCUAACUCCGUG